UACGGAGGGUGCAAGCGUUGCUCGGAAUUAUUGGGCGUAAAGGGUAGGUAGGUGGUCUCAUUUGUCUGGGGUGAAAGCCUUGAGCUUAACUCAAGAAGUGCCCCAGAAACGGUGAGACUAGAGUCUUGGAGAGGGUCGUGGAAUUCCCGGUGUAGCGGUGAAAUGCGUAGAGAUGUGGAGGAACACCAGUGGCGAAGGCGACUCUUUGGCCUGUAACUGACGCUGAGGCGCGAAAGCGUGGGGAGCAAACAGG
rnacentral:rRNA from 1 species